rnacentral:rRNA from 1 species
UACGUAGGGUGCGAGCGUUGUCCGGAAUUAUUGGGCGUAAAGGGCGCGUAGGCGGCCAGCGCAAGUCAGUUGUGAAAUCUCCGGGCUUAACUCGGAAAGGUCAACUGAUACUGCGCGGCUAGAGUGCGGAAGGGGCAACUGGAAUUCUCGGUGUAGCGGUGAAAUGCGUAGAUAUCGAGAGGAACACCUGCGGCGAAGGCGGGUUGCUGGGCCGACACUGACGCUGAGGCACGAAGGCCAGGGGAGCAAACGGG